rnacentral:rRNA from 1 species
AGAGUUUGAUCCUGGCUCAGGAUGAACGCUGGCGGCGUGCUUAACACAUGCAAGUCGAGCGAAGCACCUUGACGGAUUUCUUCGGAUUGAAGCCUUGGUGACUGAGCGGCGGACGGGUGAGUAACGCGUGGGUAACCUGCCUCAUACAGGGGGAUAACAGUUGGAAACGGCUGCUAAUACCGCAUAAGCGCACAGUACCGCAUGGUACGGUGUGAAAAACUCCGGUGGUAUGAGAUGGACCCGCGUCUGAUUAGGUAGUUGGUGGGGUAACGGCCUACCAAGCCGACGAUCAGUAGCCGACCUGAGAGGGUGACCGGCCACAUUGGGACUGAGACACGGCCCAAACUCCUACGGGAGGCAGCAGUGGGGAAUAUUGCACAAUGGGGGAAACCCUGAUGCAGCGACGCCGCGUGAGCGAUGAAGUAUUUCGGUAUGUAAAGCUCUAUCAGCAGGGAAGAAAAUGACGGUACCUGACUAAGAAGCCCCGGCUAACUACGUGCCAGCAGCCGCGGUAAUACGUAGGGGGCAAGCGUUAUCCGGAUUUACUGGGUGUAAAGGGAGCGUAGACGGCAUGGCAAGCCAGAUGUGAAAGCCCGGGGCUCAACCCCGGGACUGCAUUUGGAACUGUCAGGCUAGAGUGUCGGAGAGGAAAGCGGAAUUCCUAGUGUAGCGGUGAAAUGCGUAGAUAUUAGGAGGAACACCAGUGGCGAAGGCGGCUUUCUGGACGGUGACUGACGUUGAGGCUCGAAAGCGUGGGGAGCGAACAGGAUUAGAUACCCUGGUAGUCCACGCCGUAAACGAUG